UGCGGGGUAGAGCAGCGGUAGCUCGUGAGGCCCAUAACCUCAAGGUCGAGGGUUCGAACCCCUUCCCCGCUA
rnacentral:tRNA from 1 species